GGGGAUGCCAGGCAUCGAUAAUAAAAUUUUUUAAAAGCAUUCGGAAUGCGUGUCUCAGCUGCCGCAUAAAUCGCGCUGAAUUAAAAUAAGUGCAAAAAACUUAUUUGCCAAGGCAAAGGAUACUUUUACAAUAAAAGUUCCCGCCAUGGUACCUGUUAUGGCCUAAAAGCCGUAGCCAUCCGCCCGGCGAUUCCUAAUAGCCGCCAGCAGGUGUCAUAUUAUCCCCGCACCUUUUAAGCAUUAAAUAUGUAUUAUGUUUAUACUUUAAAAAGUUUAAAAGAUAGAAAAUUGUAUAUUGGCUAUACUAGUGAUUUAAGAAAAAGAUUUAAACAACAUUUGGAUGGGAAAGUACAAUCUACCAGAGGAAGAAGGCCGUUAGUAUUGGCUUAUUAUGAGGCAUACAAAUCCAAAGAGGAUGCAAAAGAGCGCGAAAAGCAGCUUAAACAUUUUGGGAAAUCUUAUAGUCAGUUAAAAAGAAAAAUAAGAAGAAGUAUCAUUGAUGCUUAAAAGGUGCGGGGUAUUAGGAUAGGUUAACGGAAUAUUCUUGGCUGUUAUCCGAAACCAAAAGAAUUAAUUGCUUAUCAGUUUUGUUUGGUUUUAAUGAUAGCAAUGAAUAAAACAAAUCAAACUAUUUCCGUAAAAUUGUUUUUAAUGAUUUAUUAGACGCGGGUUCAAUUCCCGCCAUCUCCACAU
rnacentral:tmRNA from 1 species